rnacentral:rRNA from 1 species
ACCAGUACCGUGAGGGAAAGGCGAAAAGAACCCCGGCGAGGGGAGUGAAAAAGAACCUGAAACCGUGUACGUACAAGCAGUGGGAGCACGCUUAGGCGUGUGACUGCGUACCUUUUGUAUAAUGGGUCAGCGACUUAUUUUCAGUGGCGAGCUUAACCGAAUAGGGGAGGCGUAGCGAAAGCGAGUCUUAAUAGGGCGUCUAGUCGCUGGGAAUAGACCCGAAACCGGGCGAUCUAUCCAUGGGCAGGUUGAAGGUUGGGUAACACUAACUGGAGGACCGAACCGACUAAUGUUGAAAAAUUAGCGGAUGACUUGUGGCUGGGGGUGAAAGGCCAAU